rnacentral:tRNA from 1 species
GCGGAAAUGGCUCAGAGGUAGAGCAUCGCCUUGCCAAGGCGAGGGUCGCGGGUUCGAAUCCCGUUUUCCGCUCCA